GAGGAAGCAUGUAUCUUGUCAAUAGUACAAGAUUAGGUGCUUAACAUGCAUGUUAAUGGUACAAAUAUAGUAAAUAGAGAAAAGAGCCCUCUGUAAAAUAAUACUCCUUUUGUUCUUAUAUAGAUGAUCUUUUAGGUUUUUUUUUUUUUUUAAAUAGAUGAUUUUCUCACAAAUCUAUGUAAAAUUAAAUACUAUUUUAUGGGUUUUAUCAAUUUAUAUUCUGCAUAUUGUUUUUUCAUUGAUUGAAUUGUGUUAAAAUAGAUAUUCAAUGAUAUUUUUCUUUAGACAUAAACAAAACUUAAAUGAUUUCUUAAUCUGUAUAUUUGCU
rnacentral:lncRNA from 1 species